rnacentral:rRNA from 1 species
UACGGAGGGUGCAAGCGUUAAUCGGAAUUACUGGGCGUAAAGCGCACGCAGGUGGCUGAGUCAGUCGAUUGUGAAAACUCUGGGCUUAACCCAGAGCCUGCAUUCGAAACUGACGAGCUGGAGUUCUGGAGGGGAAAGCGGAAUUCCUGGUGUAGCGGUGAAAUGCGUAGAUAUCUGCAGGAACACCCGUGGCGAAAGCGGCGCGCUGGACCACUACUGACGCUGAGGAACGAAAGCUAGGGGAGCAAACAGG